GGAGUAAUGUAUCGGAACGGUACCUUUCAGUGGGGGAUAACGUAGCGAAAGUUACGCUAAUACCGCAUAUUCUGUGAGCAGGAAAGCAGGGGAUCGCAAGACCUUGCGCUGAUUGAGCGGCCGAUAUCAGAUUAGCUAGUUGGUGAGGUAAAGGCUCACCAAGGCGACGAUCUGUAGCGGGUCUGAGAGGAUGAUCCGCCACACUGGAACUGAGACACGGUCCAGACUCCUACGGGAGGCAGCAGUGGGGAAUUUUGGACAAUGGGGGCAACCCUGAUCCAGCCAUGCCGCGUGAGUGAAGAAGGCCUUCGGGUUGUAAAGCUCUUUCGUCCGGGAAGAAAUCGCAUCAGCUAAUACCUGGUGUGGAUGACGGUACCGGAAUAAG
rnacentral:rRNA from 1 species